rnacentral:rRNA from 1 species
UACGUAGGGGGCAAGCGUUGUCCGGAAUCAUUGGGCGUAAAGAGCGUGUAGGCGGCUCGGUAAGUCCGCUGUGAAAGUCCAGGGCUCAACCCUGGAAUGCCGGUGGAAACUGUCGAGCUAGAGUCCGGAAGAGGCGAGUGGAAUCCUGGUGUAGCGGUGAAAUGCGCAGAUAUCAGGAGGAACACCAAUGGCGAAGGCAGCUCGCUGGGACGGUACUGACGCUGAGGUGCGAAAGCGUGGGGAGCAAACAGG